rnacentral:lncRNA from 1 species
UGAAGCGUAAAUAAUCGAUUAUCGAUCAAUUCCCCAUUUGAAAGUGUGGUAAAGGAUCGAUUUUUACGGUGUUCGUUUGCAAAAACUCUGUCUAUCGAUCGUUUUCCAUAGGUUUAAAUGGUAGAUCAAUCAAAAUAUCGCAAAGAACGCCACGCCACUGACUAGGAUUUGCAGUGCUUAAAUUGAAUAAUGCGCAGAUCGCUUCAUGUUUGAGAGUGUUAUUCCAUCUGUUUCUCUUCUUUCAAGAUGUCAUCCGGAACGAUAAUGAGGUCGAAGAGAGUGUGGAGUCGCUGACGGAGUCAACAGGGGUCUCGCCUCGCUCGCCUCGUUCGCCACGAAACAAGAACAAAGUGUGAACAGCAAAGACAAAUCGCCGACCAGAUCGAGAUGCUCUCGAAGUGGAAGCAGAAGAUGCGGGAAACCCGCGUUAAUUGCGAAGAGGUGAUAACGAACCUGCACCACAUAACGAACCACUCGCCGCGGCACGGGCAGAGGCAGGAGCCGGACGCCGGGCGGGUGCAGACGCAGACUCGAGACACGGCGACAGAGAAGCCGGCGUCGCGGAAGAGACUCCUGGAAAAGCUACCGACGGUGCGGCGGGGGCCGGUAGCCCGGCGUCACGGACACCGGGAAUGCGUUAAACUUCCGGCCACGGCCCCGACCAUCAAGAGCGGGCAGCGGAAGCACACGCUCCCGAGGAUAGCCCGCAAGCGCCCCGAGCCCCAGUCCGAGAGCGAUGACGUCAACAACAACCUCUACGCUGUCGGCAUGAGCCUCAAGGGCCUCAAGAUCGUCACCAAGGACCAGAUCGUCCUCCCGCCGAGCUACGAGUUCGCCAACCAUCUCACCGUCCCCGAGAUACUCCAGAACUAAGCCGCGCGCUCUAUGAUUUCUGACUCAUCCCAGAAACAGCAUAUCGACACUUUUGGCCGAAGUAUCACAAGUGCCGUGCGAUGUUUCGAAAUUUCCGCUGCCAUUUUAUUUUUUUUUACAGAGGAAUUGUUCAACGAAGCGAAGGAAAAUUUCACUGAUAAUUCUUUGUGCUGCUGAUAAAUUCAGUGAAACUUUCAAACAGAUUCAACCGACAAUCUCUCUGUAAAAAAAUAAAAUAGCGGCGGAAAUUUUGAAACGUCACAGGUCGCAUGGUGAAAACCUCACCCAGUUUGAUGCCUAUGAGCGAGUUAGAGAAAGGGGCGGAGAGAUCUUGGAUCAUCCCUUCAUCAGUAGCGUGGCGUGCUUUGCGAUAUAUCAAUUGAUGUGAUAUAUUUAACCCAAUGGAAAAGGAUCGAUGAACAGUAUGUUCGCACCGAACCCCUUAAUAGUUGAUUCUUUACCACAGAUUCAAAUGGGGAAAUAUCGAUAAUCGAUCAUUCACGACACGCCACUGCCCCUUAUUUUGCGUCAGAAAUGAUGAGAAGGUAGAGAAAGGAGGGAGAAAGUGUAGAAACCCCUAAUUUUUAGGCAAAAAGCCCCCUUCGUUCCCUCUCAGAUGAAUGGAUAUGCCCUUUGUUUUGAUGUGGGAACAAAAAUUACUCGUAAUGACAAUGGUAAACCCUCAAUACUCUGGAACAAGCUGACCCGCAUCUGACUGAAUCAGACUGUUUCUUGAGACGAACCACUUUGACGUCAGUUUCACAUAACACUGCCAUCGUUUUCGUAUUAUGAAAAAUAUGACGUUUGUGAAAUUCAGCAUUUUUAAAUAAGCAAUUACCAUAUACAAUGUGUAUUUAAAUAAAAUUAAAGAUUUUAAAACUAAAUGCUGCCGAUUUAAACAAUUUUACCUAUUUUUUUAAAAUUAGUGAGCAAUCAAAAGAUAAGGCAAAUGUAGGACAAACGAGGACGAUCAUCAAUUAUCUGUACUGUUCCAUUAUGCCUAAAUAUUGUAAAGUAAAUGUAAAGAUUUAUCGAUGUAAAUUAUAUUAUCGUUUAAUACUGUUAAUUGCGUCUCAUUAUUGUUCAUUCCAUAAUCAGCCUUAGGUGAAGGCGAAAACUACAGCGGCUAGCUUAAGAGGCCAAUGACAACGUCCUGGAAAUUAAGACAAAUAGGUCAACUAUCCGAAUAUCAAAGAUCUGUCGCAGAUAAUAAAUCUCUGCCAUUUAGCCAAUGUAUUUCCAUGGAUCAGGUCAAAAUUAUCCUUAGCUUGAUUUUUUCAAAUGACGCCUGGUUUUCUUUCACGAAACGGACCCUCCAGUCAGAAAAUUUAUGACAAAAUGAUGUACUCUUUAUUUUGAGAUCCUUCCACGCACGACUAAUAAAGUCAGGGGAAAACUAAAAAUUAGAAUUAAAGCCUCAAAAAAUUAG